AUGCUCUUGCGACCACUCCAGGCACGAUUGGCACCCUUCUGCAGAAGUAAAUUGCCUUGCUGAGAAAGCUUUUUGCCAGAGUGCUGAUUCUUCUUUGCGGCACCAAGCAUUUGUUUCUAACAUCAACUAUCUACUUUCAUUUUUCAGGUUAAGAAAUCUCCAAAACAGUUGGCUGCUUACAUAAAUAGAACAGUUGGACAAACUGUGAAAAGCCCAGAUAAACUUCGUAAAGUGAUCUAUCGCAGAAAGAAAGUUCAUCAUCCCUUUCCAAAUCCUUGUUACAGAAAAAAACAGUCCCCUGGAAGUGGGGGCUGUGACAUGGCAAAUAAAGAAAAUGAACUGGCUUGUGCAGGCCACCUGCCUGAAAAAUUACACCAUGAUAGUCGAACAUAUUUGGUUAACUCCAGUGAUUCUGGUUCUUCACAGACAGAAAGCCCAUCAUCAAAAUAUAGUGGGUUUUUUUCUGAGGUUUCUCAGGACCAUGAAACAAUGGCCCAAGUUUUGUUCAGCAGGAAUAUGAGAUUGAAUGUAGCUUUAACUUUCUGGAGAAAGAGAAGUAUAAGUGAACUUGUAGCUUAUUUGUUGAGGAUAGAAGAUCUUGGCGUUGUGGUAGAUUGCCUUCCUGUGCUCACCAAUUGUUUACAGGAAGAAAAACAAUAUAUCUCACUUGGCUGCUGUGUUGACUUGUUGCCUCUAGUAAAGUCACUACUUAAAAGCAAAUUUGA
rnacentral:sRNA from 1 species